AUGUCCGGCCGCGGCAAGGGCGGGAAGGGUCUGGGCAAGGGCGGCGCCAAGCGCCACCGGAAGGUGCUGCGGGACAACAUCCAGGGCAUCACGAAGCCGGCUAUCCGGCGUCUGGCUCGCAGGGGCGGCGUGAAGCGCAUCUCGGGGCUCAUCUACGAGGAGACCCGCGGCGUGCUCAAGAUCUUCCUCGAGAACGUCAUCCGCGACGCCGUCACCUACACCGAGCACGCCCGCCGCAAGACCGUCACCGCCAUGGACGUCGUCUACGCGCUCAAGCGACAGGGCCGCACCCUCUACGGCUUCGGCGGCUGA
rnacentral:rRNA from 1 species